UAAGCAUAUCAAUAAGCGGAGGAAAAGAAACUAACAAGGAUUCCCCUAGUAACGGCGAGUGAAGCGGGAAGAGCUCAAAUUUGAAAUCUUAAAGGGUUUCCCUUUACGAAUUGUAGUUUAAAGAAGUGUUUUCUGUUGGAGUUUCGGUAAAAGUUCUUUGGAAUAGGACAUCAUAGAGGGUGAGAAUCCCGUAUUUGACCGUUACUUUCCAGCUGUGUGAUACACUUUCAAAGAGUCGGAUUGUUUGGGAAUGCAGUCCAAAAUGGGUGGUAAAUUUCAUCUAAAGCUAAAUAUUGGCGAGAGACCGAUAGCGAACAAGUACCGUGAGGGAAAGAUGAAAAGAACUUUGAAAAGAGAGUUAAACAGUACGUGAAAUUGUCAAAAGGGAAGCGUUUGACACCAGUGUUGUUUAGUUGAAAAUCAAUUUAAUAAUUUUUGAUUUUAAGUAGUAUUGACUUCAUCAGCUUGCUGCUUUUUUCUCAGAUAUUAUUGAAUGCACUUUUCAGUUAACAAGUCAACAUCAAUUUCUUUUGUUGUAAAAGGGUAAGAGGAAGGUGGCUUGCGCUUCGGCUCAAGUGUUUAUAGCCUUUUACCUCUGCAAUCGGAGAGAUUGAGGUCUGCAGCGUAGAUCCUUCGGGGUUAGAUACAUUGGUGCUAAGCUAUAGCCUUGUAUAGACAACUUGUUGACUAUGCUCAGUCAUGUAGCUUACUCGCUGAUGCUAUUUUACCUACGCUUAGGAUGUUGACAAAAUGGUUUUAAACGACCCGUCUUGAACACCGGACCAAAACCCACCCC
rnacentral:rRNA from 1 species